AUACGGAAGGUCCGGGCGUUAUCCGGAUUUAUUGGGUUUAAAGGGAGCGCAGGCGGAGAUGCAAGCGUGACGUCAAAUUUCGGGGCUCAACCCCGUCUCGCGUCGCGAACUGCGUCCCUUGGUUGCGGGAAGGGGAGGCGGAACUCGUGGUGUAGCGGUGAAAUGCAUAGAUAUCACGAAGAACUCCGAUCGCGAAGGCAGCCUUCCGGCCCGUCAACGACGCUCAUGCUCGAAGGUGCGGGUAUCAAACAGGAUUAGAUACCCUGGUAGUUCGCACAGUAAACGAUGGACACCCGCGGUUUGGCCUAUAUGGCUGAGCCGCCAAGCGAAAGCGUUAAGUGUCCCACCUGGGGAGUACGCCGGCAACGGUGAAACUCAAAGGAAUUGGCGGGG
rnacentral:rRNA from 1 species